GAGUUUGAUCUUGGCUCAGAUUGAACGCUGGCGGCAUGCCUUACACAUGCAAGUCGAACGGCAGCACGGGAGCUUGCUCCUGGUGGCGAGUGGCGAACGGGUGAGUAAUGCAUGGGAACGUAUCCUGGAGUGGGGGAUAACGUAGCGAAAGUUACGCUAAUACCGCAUAUUCUGUGAGCAGGAAAGCGGGGGACCUUCGGGCCUCGCGCUCUUGGAGCGGCCGAUGUCGGAUUAGCUAGUUGGUGAGGUAAAGGCUCACCAAGGCGACGAUCCGAAGCAGGUCUGAGAGGAUGAUCUGCCACACUGGAACUGAGACACGGUCCAGACUCCUACGGGAGGCAGCAGUGGGGAAUUUUGGACAAGUGGGGACAACCCUGAUCCAGCCAUCGCCGCGUGAGU
rnacentral:rRNA from 1 species